CGUCGGCGUCGACCGUGGGCGGGAUUGCGUCGGCGGCUGGAGGAUCGGGGUGGGCGGCAGCAGCUGAGGUAGAGUGCAGUACUUCUUGUACCAGACAUGAAUAUGUUAUCUGGAAUAAGAAAUGCUAUGGAGUGAAAACUUUGUUGCUAUUAAAGCAUCAGACGAAUUCCUCAUGUUUAGAGUUGUGGUGCCAAUCAAGCAGGCUACUUUGUCCUGGAUAGUGCCAAACCUCUUAAUGUUGUGAUGGAUGUACCUACACAG